rnacentral:rRNA from 1 species
CCUACGGGUGGCAGCAGUGAGGAAUAUUGGUCAAUGGACGAGAGUCUGAACCAGCCAAGUAGCGUGAAGGAUGACUGCCCUAUGGGUUGUAAACUUCUUUUAUAUGGGAGUAAAAAGUUCUACGUGUGGGAUUUUGUAUGUAGCAUACGAAUAAGGAUCGGCUAACUCCGUGCCAGCAGCCGCGGUAAUACGGAGGAUCCGAGCGUUAUCCGGAUUUAUUGGGUUUAAAGGGAGCGUAGGUGGAUUGUUAAGUCAGUUGUGAAAGUUUGCGGCUCAACCGUAAAACUGCAUUUGAUACUGGCAGUCUUGAGUACAGUAGAGGUAGGCGGAAUUCGUGGUGUAGCGGUGAAAUGCUUAGAUAUCACGAAGAACACCGAUUGCGAAGGCAGCUCACUGGACUGCAACUGACGCUGAGGCUCGAAAGUGUGGGUAGCAAACAGGAUUAGAUACCCCAGUAGUC